UACGUAGGGUGCAAGCGUUGUCCGGAAUUAUUGGGCGUAAAGAGCUCGUAGGCGGUCUGUCACGUCGGCUGUGAAAACUCGGGGCUCAACCCCGAGCCUGCAGUCGAUACGGGCAGACUAGAGUCCGGCAGGGGAGACUGGAAUUCCUGGUGUAGCGGUGAAAUGCGCAGAUAUCAGGAGGAACACCGGUGGCGAAGGCGGCUCUCUGGGCCAUUCCUGACGCUGAGGUUCGAAAGCUCGGGGAGCAAACAGG
rnacentral:rRNA from 1 species